AAAGAAUUAGUUUAAAUUUAACAACAUUAAAUUGUCAAUUUAAAGAUAUUUUAAAAAAUAUUCCUUA
rnacentral:tRNA from 1 species